rnacentral:rRNA from 1 species
GAUGAACGCUAGCGGGAGGCCUAACACAUGCAAGCCGAGCGGUAUUUGUUCUUCGGAACAGAGAGAGCGGCGCACGGGUGCGGAACACGUGUGCAACCUGCCUUUAUCUGGGGGAUAGCCUUUCGAAAGGAAGAUUAAUACCCCAUAAUAUAUUGAGUGGCAUCAUUUGAUAUUGAAAACUCCGGUGGAUAGAGAUGGGCACGCGCAAGAUUAGAUAGUUGGUGAGGUAACGGCUCACCAAGUCAAUGAUCUUUAGGGGGCCUGAGAGAGUGAUCCCCCACACUGGUACUGAGACACGGACCAGACUCCUACGGGAGGCAGCAGUGAGGAAUAUUGGACAAUGGGUUAGCGCCUGAUCCAGCCAUCCCGCGUGAAGGACGACGGCCCUAUGGGUUGUAAACUUCUUUUGUAUAGGGAUAAACCUACUCUCGUGAGAGUAGCUGAAGGUACUAUACGAAUAAGCACCGGCUAACUCCGUG